rnacentral:lncRNA from 1 species
CAGCAGCUGUGGCAUGAUUUAGCUGCAGUCCCUGUAGGCAAUUUGAGGGCAACCUCUUUUUUCAUACCCUUUUUUUGUGGCAAGCUGUUUUGAGGAGCAAGCCUUAUCAGUGACCAUUCUUUUUUUUUCCUUUUUACCAGGCAAGACUUUUAUACUGGUUUUAAGAUGGAGGACUUCGCAGAUCAAAAUGAUAGCGAGGUACAGACCACAUUAUCAUAUCCUUUACUUGCGGCAUUUUUACAUUUUUACAUGUAUUAGGUAGAGAAUCAGUCAGCAGCACCAACAUGUAGUUAAGUUAUUCAGUUCUCGCCCACCCGGACGACCUAGGUCACCUAACACGGACGACCAAGUUGCCCAAAGCCCCGUCGAACACCGUCAUACCAAGUCGCCUCAACACAAAUGGGAGCUGCGACACUUCUCGCCCACCCAGGUGACCUAGGUCGCCUAACACGGACGACCAAGUCGCCCAAAGCCCCGCCGACAACCGUCAUACCAAGUCGCCUCAACACAAAUGGGGGGUGCGGCACUUCUCGUCCACCCCGGUGACCUAGGUCGCCUAACACGGAC